AUGAAAUUAAUUACAUUUUUCAUAUUUUUCUUGGUGACUGCUCGGAGAGGGGCCUUUUCGGACAUUCAGCUCACACCAUUGGGGCCUGGAACCCUGAGGCCUGGAGAGAAUCUCAAUCUGGUCUGUAAAGUGACAGGACUCCCUAUUGCUACGCAGCAUUUUUUCUGGAACUGGAUCCGUCAGCCUCCAGGGAAAAGUCUGGAAUGGGUUGCAGAUAUAUACCCCUAUGAUGGGAGAAAGUGGUACAACUCUUCUCUCCAAAGUCGCGUCACCAUUUCUGCGGACAGCUCCACAAACCAGAUUGCCCUCCAGCUGAGCUCCGUGACAGCUGCAGACUCUGCUGUGUAUUAUUGUGCCCGGGAACCACAGUGAGACAAAGUCUAUUGGACACCUGGAGAGAACCUCAAUCUAGUCUGUAAAGUGACAGGAUUCUCUAUCACUACGCAGCAUUAUCUCUGGCACUGGAUCCGUCAGCCUCCAGGGAAAGGUCUGGAAUGGGUUGCAGCAAUAUACCCCUAUGAUGGGAGAAAGUGGUACAACCUUUCUCCCCAAAGUCGCAUCACCAUUUCUGCGGACAGCUCCACCAACCAGUUCUACCUCCAGCUCAGCUCCAUGACAGCUGCAGACUCUGCUGUGUAUUAUUGUGCCCGGGAACCACAGUGA